rnacentral:rRNA from 1 species
UACGUAGGGGGCUAGCGUUGUCCGGAAUCAUUGGGCGUAAAGAGCGCGUAGGCGGCCAGAUAAGUCCGGUGUGAAAGUCACAGGCUCAACCUGUGAAUGCCGCUGGAAACUGUCUGGCUAGAGUCCGGGAGGGGCGAGUGGAAUUCCUGGUGUAGCGGUGAAAUGCGCAGAUAUCAGGAGGAACACCAAUGGCGAAGGCAGCACUCUGGGACGUGACUGACGCUGAGACGCGAAAGCGUGGGGAGCAAACAGG